GACGAACGCUGGCGGCGUGCUUAACACAUGCAAGUCGAACGGAAAGGCCCUGCUUGCAGGGUACUCGAGUGGCGAACGGGUGAGUAACACGUGGGUGAUCUGCCCUGCACUUCGGGAUAAGCCUUGGGAACUGGGUCUAAUACCGGAUAGGAGCCAUUUUUAUUGUGAUGGUUGGAAAGUUUUUUGGGUGUGGGAUGGGCUCGCGGCCUAUCAGCUUGUUGGUGGGGUAAUGGCCUACCAAGGCGGCGACGGGUAGCCGGCCUGAGAGGGUGGACGGCCACAUUGGGACUGAGAUACGGCCCAGACGCCUACGGAAGGCAGCAGUGGGGAAUAUUGCACCAUGGGCGCAAGCCUGAUGCCGCGACGCCGCGUGGGGGAUGAAGGGCUUUGGGUUGUAAACUCCUUUCGCUAGGGACGAAGCUUUUUGUGACGGUACCUAGAUAAGAAGCACCGGCUAACUACGUG
rnacentral:rRNA from 1 species